ACUUAAAGCCAGUGAAGUGAACCACAAGCUAGCUAGCUAGUGCAUUCAUUCAAGCCAUCCAAGAGUAACCAACCAUACCAACACAUAUUAAUUAUUGAAUCAUUGUUCCAUAUUCAAUAAUUAAAUUCUCAUAUAAAAAGCAAGCGAUUCUCCCGGAAACAGAACAAAUCGACAGAGUAACAGAAAGAAACGAAAAGAUGAUGAAGGGUCAAUGCAUUCCACAAAUGAAAGGCAACAAAAUUCCCUCCCCGAUGACCUUGUUAGAGCGUUUCAGGGAAGCAGUGCUCCGAUUGAUGAUGUUCUCAGCUAUUUCAAAAGCAACCAAUAAUAACCGCGGUGGCGGCUCCGGCGGUGACAGAGAACGGCAACGACGGUAUAGUCCUUAUAAUGAUUCUCACCAUAGUGAAGCUGUAGCAGAUUGCAUUGAGUUCAUUAAGAAAAAGUCUGCUAUCGACAACACCAUUGAAAAUAGUCCUUGCUUGGAUCUAGAACUAGAAGUUCAUUAUCUAUCUUGUAAUACAUAGAUAGAUCAACAUGUACUCUGUGUUAUUUUCCAUUUAUCUUCUAUUCAAGCUUUUAAAUUGUGGUUCCGUCACGGAUAUGUCGCAGAAUGCAUGGCAGAUUACUCCGUUGAUGCAGCUGCAAUUGCGGUUAUGGCCUAAUUGCGGAUGAAUUUGAUUUGAUGCGGCUACAAUUACAGUCGCAUCAACAAUUACUUGAAGCAAGCAACACUAUUCUUGUGUAUCUGAUACUAGCACGGUACAUGAAUUCCAUUCGAAGCUUAUGCCCUGGUAGAGAAGCAUGGAAGAUCCGAGGCAAAACUGAAGGCCAAGGUUGCUAAUACAGCAAAACCUGCUGCUGUUGCUGGUCUAUCAGCAAAACAAGUAAAGAUUGUUGAUCCGAAGAAAGAUGAGGAAGAGGAUGAAUCUGAUGAAUCAUCAGAGUAUGUGUCUGGUUACGAAGAUGAUCUUAUAAGUUCUGAUCGGAUGCCAAAUAAUAUUGGAGUACAAAGGUUAAGAUUGCAAAAAAAGAAGAUAGUGAUGAUGAGAGUGAUGAAGAGGUAGAGACCCCUACCCCUGCUAAGAAGGCGGAUAAGGGCAAAAAGGGACCCAAUGAGUCUGCUGCAAAAACUCGAGUUUCUGCCAAGAAUGCUACUCUAGAAACGAUUGGCGGAUAAGGGCAAAAAGGGACCCAAUGAGUCUGCUGCAAAAACUCCAGUUUCUGCCAAGAAUGCUACUCUAGAAACGACUGGCGGAUAAGGGCAAAAAGGGACCCAAUGAGUCUGCUGCAAAAACUCCAGUUUCUGCCAAGAAUGCUACUCUAGAAACGACUGGGCACUCUUGCAGAUGAGGCAGAAAUUGCUUUUGAAAGACUCGCAGAAACGUCUGGUCAUGUGUGUGGUUAGUGCAGACUUCAUUCCUUAUCUAAAAACUUCUUUUAACGAUUUUGGUAUUUUCAUUCAUUCAUUAGGUUUUUCUAGAUAUGUAUUAUGUAACUCCUUAAAAAUAUGGUGUAUCUCUGUGCAUUGGUUGAUUUGUUUCAUUAAGUAUUGUUAAUUUGUUGACUAUUAUUUCUUUCUUAUUUUCUCUGUUAUUUUUUGUAAUCUUGGUGUGUUGUUAAUCCGAGGUAUUGACAUUUUUGUCUGUUGAGGUUUAAAUUUUAUCCCAUCUCAAGCUCAGUCACCAACUCUCUUCCUCUUGGUGGUGUGGGAUGCCCUCCCGGUUCUUGAUGCUGCUGAUAUUGAUAAACCAGAAGAUUCAUUGGGAAUAGUUUAAAUAUACUCCUUAAGAGUUGUUCCCAAAGAGCUAUGAGGAAAGCCACAGAGAUGGAAUAGCUGAAAAGAAAGGGCUGGACUACUGGAUGGAUGUUGGAGCUUUGAAAGAUAAACAAAAACAAGAAAUUGAAAUUGAAGCUUUAAUGCAUGAACUUGAUGAGGAAGAGAUGCAAAUGGAUGAAUUAGCAAAGAGGACUAUAGAAGUUGAAAGAAUCCACUCCUUGAGAUGUUGAAACUGCUAAACCUGUUGAAAAUGACUCAUGACAAACUGCAGUUGUUAAACGUGAUGAAAAAUUGAAAUUAUUUAUACAGAUAUAGAAUAGUUGGUUGGUUGUCUCAUACAACUAUUGGUACAUAGGGAUAAUGAGUAAUAGCUUUUGAAAGAAUCCACUCCUUGAGAUGUUGAAACUGCUAAACCUGUCGAAAAUGACUCAUGACAAACUGCAGUUGUUAAACGUGAUGAAAAAUUGAAAUUAUUUAUACAAAUAUAGAAUAGUUGGUUGGUUGUCUCAUACAACUAUUGGUAGAUAGGGAUAAUUAGUAAUAGCUUUAGUGUGAUGGUGUUAGAUGAUCAUAUGUGAGAGAAUUUGAUGAAGGGAUAUUUGAAGGAAGGUGAUCAUGAAAAUGCUACAUCUUCUCAUUUGAUAUUGUGCUGAAAAACAAAAUAUUUUGACUUGAUAUUCAUGCUCUGAAUACUAUUGUUAAACUAUAUUUCACCUUAAAAAAAGAAUCUACUUUAGUAAAGAGAUAUUAUAAGUGUGAAUAUCACAUAAGCUCUAAUUUCAAAAUUUUAACUUUAAUCUUUCUGGCCAAGGUUAAUCAACUUUUUGAUUGUGUGAUUGCUAAAUCAUUGUCUAUACGGUUAUGCUUUUUUGUUUGUUUAAUUAGCUAACUACUAACAAACUUUCAAAGAGCUAUGUGAACAACAAUGUUUUUUAAUCUUAUCAGUUUUGUGUUACAGUUUUUUAGUCCUUUUUCUUUCUGUAUCUUAUCUCUUAAAAAACCAAGUAUAUGUUUUAUGUGGUUUGGCAAUCAUAAAAUUUAAUCUUUUCUUUCAGUGACAUCAUUUAAAUGUUAUAGCUAGAGAGAUGCUUGAGAGCUGAGUUAAAUUGAACAAUUUUGGUCUCUAAAAGAAAGUUGUUUCCGAGGGAGUUGUUUUUUUAGCUACCAUCAUAAUUUAAAACCACAAAAGCACACAUAACACACCUAUACUAACGGUAGUGAUUAUGGCUAGACCAGUACAGGUUAACAACAAUAAAUUGCAGCUCAAAAUCUUUGGGUAAUACCUAUAGAAUUUAAGAAACUAAUUAAGCUAAUUGGAUUUAGAACUUUAAGGAUUUAAGUGCAUGUAACUUCACUUCUAAGGAACUAGGAUCAUUUGUCUUUUUCAUUUUAAUGCAUGUAUGCUCAUUUGCAAGCUCAUGGAAUAAUGUUUUGUUGACACUUCUUAUUCACAUCCACUCCACCUUAGAUAAUAGGAAGAGAAAAUAGUGAAAUGUGUGGAAAUGAGAUAAAGAAAGUGAGAUACGAAUAAAUCAUUACUCUUGGAUAUGUGUAUAAAUAUUUUUUUUUAGUUUCAAAUAUCUCCCUCACAGUCUAAUAUGUUAUUACAUUUCAGUCAACUUUUCAUCUUUUACAGUAAAGAUUGCACCAAAGUGCAAGUCGACAGGGGUCAAACACAAUUAACAUUUGAAACUCAUCUAAUUCAUAUAUAAGAAAGAUAAAACAUUUAAACAUAAACAUAAGAUAAUAACGACAUAUAAGUGUUUAACUAAUUAAAAUUGCAUGUCUUAGUAAAUACACCAUUGUAUUAUUCUAUAUAUAUCAAAUACUCAAUAGUUGUAAUUAACAGUGGAGUUCGUAAAAAAGUAUCCGUGCAUCGCACGGACAAACGGGUUUAAUACUAGUUUGUAAGAACUGGACAAAGUAUAGCAGUUGCAAAUUCAAUCAGUACAUGUAUGAUGUAUCUGUUCUUUCUAUCCUUCUCUUUUUUAUGUUUGAACUUAGAAGCAAAGUCGGAAGAUGCAUUAGAGUCAACCAUUUCUCUUUUGUUUUCUCUAUUACAUGAAUCAAACAAAAUAUGGUUCACAAAAACAUCUUGUAAAUAGUAUAUAGCGCAUGUUAAUUGUAAAUAAUUCAUGAAUGAAUCUAUUUUUAACAUGAUCCAACAUUAUAUUCAUGCAAUAAUUAAUUGCCUAUCAAAAAAAAAUAUUCAUGCAAUAAUUACUCUAAACGAAUAAUUUGCUUGCAUGUGACUUAGACUCAGUUGACAAACAUUGAUGAAGGCAAUAUUUUAAAUUAGUUUUGCAUUUUUUUCAACAAAACUAUGAAAAUGAAACAUAAAAUGAAUUACAUGCAUUUAUCCGGCCCAAAUGUGUAAGCCCAUGUUGCAGCUUAUAAACAAAACGAAGCCCGGCCAGUGAAGUUAUCCGGUGAUGAUAUUUGUCGUUGUCUAUUGCCCUUUUACUUAUAUCUUUUUAGUAAAAAACUUAUAUCUCACUUUUUCCAAUGUAUAUUAG